rnacentral:rRNA from 1 species
AGAGUUUGAUCCUGGCUCAGGACGAACGCUGGCGGCGUGCCUAACACAUGCAAGUCGAACGGAGAAUUUCAAUAAGCUUGCUUAGAGAAAUUUUUAGUGGCGGACGGGUGAGUAACGCGUGGAUAAUCCGGGACAACCCUUGGAAACGAGGGCUAAUACCGGAUAAUCUUUGAGAGUGGCAUCACUCAUAAAGAAAAGGUGGCCUCUGUAUAUGCUACCGAUUAUGGAUGGACCCGCGUCCGAUUAGCCAGUUGGUGGGGUAAAGGCCUACCAAAGCGACGAUGGGUAGCCGGCCUGAGAGGGUGACCGGCCACACUGGAACUGAGAUACGGUCCAGACUCCUACGGGAGGCAGCAGUGGGGAAUCUUCCGCAAUGGGCGAAAGCCUGACGGAGCAACGCCGCGUGAGCGAAGAAGGUCUUCGGAUUGUAAAGCUCUGUGAUAUUGGACGAAACAAAUGACGGUACAAUAAGAGGAAGCCACGGCUAACUACGUGCCAGCAGCCGCGGUAAUACGUAGGUGGCAAACGUUGUCCGGAAUUACUGGGCGUAAAGGGCGAGUAGGUGGUUUAUUAAGUCAGAAGUGAAAACUCCGGGCUCAACUCGGAGACUGCUCCUGAAACUGGUAGACUUGAGUGCAAGAGAGGGAAGUGGAAUUCCUAGUGUAGCGGUAAAAUGCGUAGAUAUAUGGAGGAACACCAGUGGCGAAGGCGGUUGCCUGGCCUGUAACUGACGCUGAGGCACGAAAGCGUGGGGAGCAAAUAGGAUUAGAUACCCUAGUAGUCCACGCUGUAAACGAUGAAUACUAAGUGUUGGAGAAAUUCAGUGCUGCAGUUAAGCAGUUAACGCAAUAAGUAUUCCGCCUGGGGAGUAUGCACGCAAGUGUGAAACUCAAAGGAAUUGACGGGGGCCCGCACAAGCGGUGGAGUAUGUGGUUUAAUUCGACGCAACGCGAAGAACCUUACCAGGUCUUGACAUCCUCUGAUGACCUAAGAGAUUAGGAGUUCUGCUUUCGGGCAGACAGAGAGACAGGUGGUGCAUGGUUGUCGUCAGCUCGUGUCGUGAGAUGUUGGGUUAAGUCCCGCAACGAGCGCAACCCUUAUUCUUAGUUGCCAUCACAUAAUGUGGGCACUCUAGGGAGACUGCCGGUGAUAAACCGGAGGAAGGUGGGGAUGACGUCAAAUCAUCAUGCCCUUUAUGACCUGGGCUACACACGUACUACAAUGGCCUGUACAAAGGGUAGCGAAGCCGCGAGGUGGAGCCAAUCCCAAAAAGCAGGUCUCAGUUCGGAUUGUAGGCUGCAACUCGCCUACAUGAAGUCGGAAUCGCUAGUAAUCGCGGAUCAGCAUGCCGCGGUGAAUACGUUCCCGGGCCUUGUACACACCGCCCGUCACACCACGAAAGUCUGCAACACCCGAAGCCGAUGUAGCAACCGUAAGGAGCAAGUCGUCGAAGGUGGGGCCGAUGAUUGGGGUGAAGUCGUAACAAGGUAACC